rnacentral:rRNA from 1 species
AUUGAACGCUGGCGGCAGGCUUAACACAUGCAAGUCGAGCGGAGAUGAGGUGCUUGCACCUUAUCUUAGCGGCGGACGGGUGAGUAAUGCUUAGGAAUCUGCCUAUUAGUGGGGGACAACAUUCCGAAAGGAAUGCUAAUACCGCAUACGUCCUACGGGAGAAAGCAGGGGAUCUUCGGACCUUGCGCUAAUAGAUGAGCCUAAGUCGGAUUAGCUAGUUGGGGGGGUAAAGGCCUACCAAGGCGACGAUCUGUGGCGGGUCUGAGAGGAUGAUCCGCCACACUGGGACUGAGACACGGCCCAGACUCCUACGGGAGGCAGCAGUGGGGAAUAUUGGACAAUGGGGGGAACCCUGAUCCAGCCAUGCCGCGUGUGUGAAGAAGGCCUUAUGGUUGUAAAGCACUUUAAGCGAGGAGGAGGCUACUGAGACUAAUACUCUUGGAUAGUGGACGUUACUCGCAGAAUAAGCACCGGCUAACUCUGUGCCAGCAGCCGCGGUAA